ensembl:lncRNA
CCUGUGUCUGCUGUCUGUGCUGAACAGGGCAGUCUCAGAAGUGAGGCGAAGUGAAUGCUUUUCUACCCAAAUCCAGCUUGUGCUAAGAAUCAGACACUACAAUCACUUUAAAGAGCAAGGAUGGAGAGCCACCAGAAUGCUGGCUGCAUCCCAGUGUCACUGCUGGAAUGUCGAAGUGAUGGGGAAAACAGGGCAAAAUCUGCACCUCCUCUUCUCACCCCAAGAUGCUCAUGGAUGGAUGAGCUGAAGCCAGUGACUGUCUUGUCUCGCCUUGCAAAAAGUCGGCUACGCCAAGCUACAUAGGAGCAGCUCUGUGAGGCCACCGUUCCUGCGGCCACGGAAAGAGGAGAAGACCCAGAGACUCAAAACCCAGAGUUCUGACAGAGUCCCCACGCCCUUCCCGCUGCGCGAGGACAAGGCGGUCCCACGGUCCCUUCGGGAGCGACGACU